rnacentral:SRP_RNA from 1 species
UUGAAGUGCACCGACAAUGAAAAUUUGCAAACCCCGCCAGAUCCGGAAGGAAGCAACGGUAGUAUUUUUUUCAGGUGUUGGCUGUUAUUUUGGGCG